AGUACGAUAUGUUCGAAGAUAUUGCAAAAAUCAAAAUUUUCAAAUAUGUUUUUUUUCGGAUAACUUGUAAAGUACUUCAUGGAUUCAUUCCAAAAUAUAUCCAGCUCUAAAAUUUACAAGGUACGUCGAGUGCCACCUCAACCAUCAAAAUCGGUUAAUUUAUUUCAAAAUAAACCGUUAUCGAAAGAAUUGCGAAAAAUUGUUUCUAAUUAAAUUCAAAUUGUUUAACUAAUCAAUUAAAGUUGUUUUUGAACGUUAAUGAUUAAGAAACUGGAUUGAAUGCCACCUUGAACGUCAAAAUCGGUUCAUUAUUAUAACCGGGCAGCGUUGGUAUACGACAUGAGAGUGCGGCUCUCUCGCUGUCUCUGUCUGAAUUUGGUCUUUUUCUGUCUCUCAUAUUACAGCCUGAUUGCUAAGUUUGGCUGGGUUAAGCGCUAGACCACAGGGGAUGAUUUCGCGCAGCAGGUGACCGUAAGUCGGUCAUGUGCGCAUAAUUAGGUAGGGGUCAUCGGAGGUUGGGACCUGAGACGUCUCGAUCAGGAUCGACAUUCAAGUCCAAGCUAUCGACUCGACAUUUAAGUGCAGGCAAUCGAUUCAAGUGCAGGCGAUCGAUUCAAACGACACUCAAGUCAAAGUGCUGAUACAUACAGCCUCGUUACUCGUUGCUCGAUUGUGAAAACUGUAAAAAUUCUAAAUUAUUUUGCUCUCUCUAUAAACUGGUUUAUAAAACCAAAUUUUGUUAAGUUGAUUAUCUAAGUGAUUUGUGUGAGAGUAUCCAGCACCAAGUCCAACAUCAACAGCCAGGAUCCGGAAGAGAAGGUCCAACAUGCAGCGGCGUCCAAUACCAUCAAUAUAUAAGAUGCUAUGAACGUCGAGCUCACGGUUGUCCUGCUCGGGGAAAAAUAACAAAUGAUGAACUUGAUUUAUCGAUCGUUCAUAACCAUGUAAGAAAUCCUCAGUUGCAGAAAUAUUGCAUCUUUCAAGAUGCAUUGUUUAUUGCGGCAACGGCACGCCCUUAUAGAUCCCUGAAAGUUAUAUUUGACCAUUUGAGUGUGCAAAAUCAUGAAGCAGCGUCACAAUUCACAUGGCGGAAAAUGCAGCCGCUUAUGGAAAGUUGGCGCCGCAGUGACCGACCACCUCGUCCACCGAUUCCAAGCAAUCUACAACAGUUUGCCGAUUUUUUAAACAUGCCACAGUGGGCCUAUAAUUAACUUUACUAUGAAUAAUUUUUAGUUUUAAAUAAUUCACCAGAAAUAAUAAAUAUAAUCAUAAAUUUUAACGAUUUGAGAAAAAUCUCUGCUCCAAUUUUUUAAAUGUACAUCAAUAAUAAAUUAUGAAGCAGAAAAAUUAAUUAUUUAAUUAAUAAAAUUUUACUGAAGUAAUCAUUACAGAAAAAAAAAUUAAUCAGUUGAUAAUAAAAUAAUUGCACAUUAAAUUUUUGUCAAUAAACAAUUAAAUUAUUGCACUUCAGUUUAAUGGUACGGUGUUACAAAUUUUUUUUAAUUAGUUGGAUUUAUUUUUUAAUUAAUGAACACGGGGUAAUCGAUAUUCACAAUCGAUAUAA